GGCCGCAGCGCCCGGGAUGCCGGAGGCCGCCGGAGGUGUCGCCAGGGCGGGCGGGAGCGGGAGCGGUAGCGGCGCGUAGGGCUGGGCUCGCCGCCAUGCCCAAGUACUACGAGGACAAGGAGGAGGACGAGCGCGCCUGCAGCGGCGUGCGGGAGGACCUGCGGCAGUGCCUGCUGGAGAGCCCCUGCGUGCUGCAGGAAAACAAAAGCCCUAAACAAUGCUUGAGGGAAGGACACUGUAGGAGUUUGCAAGUGACAUUCUUUGCAUGCAAAAGAUCAAUGUUGGAUACCAGGGCAAGAUUCAGAGGAAGGAAGGGAUACUGAAGUCUUCAUCAAGAGACCUAGCCAUGGGAAUUCAGGGUUCAUCAGCACUUUACAAAAAACAGAGACUAAAGUAAGAAGAUUGUACCUGCUAUAUCCUUUCAUGCAGUGUUUUCAUGGAAGGUACCUGCUCCUGAGUAUUCUGAUAGAUUGACCUGGAUCUGAAGAGCACGACAGUUUAAUUCCAGUCUUAAACUGCAGCUGAUAGAAUAGUAAUCAGAAACCUUAAGAUCAUUUCUUAUUUUUCUUUUCCAAAUGUGCAUGCUGAAUUUUCUGUCUGGCAUUGUUUUGUUGGAAAUAUCUUCAGAAAAUCAUUAACCAACUAUUUCUGUAAGUGGAACACCCCCCAGUGACUUGGUUAACAGUCUGUAGGAAGAAAAUUUUGUAAACAUAGAGAGCAGCUUCUUGAAGUGGACUAGCUUUAUUUUCAGGACUUACAGUAGGUUCAUUAAUAAUGUCCUUAAACAUUGAAAGAGGAAGAAACAGUAAGGUAAGCAUUUUAAUAGCUACCUAAUUAUGUCAGGUGAUAUAUUUCAAGUAGAUAAACAUUGAAAUUAUAUUUUUGUGUCGAGCUGAGGUUUGUUUGCCCUGGUGGAAGCUUUCAUGUGCCACGUUUUUCUUGGCCUUUAGGUUCUGUUGGGUUGCAGUGAAAUGGGAGGAAAUAAUUCCACUAAAGAUUUUUAGUAGCGGAGGAAAUGAUACUUGUGAAUCUCUGUGACUUAAAACAAGAUAUCCCAAAUUUGCAAUAUUACUACGAGUACUUUAAAAGGAGCUGUGGAAAAAUAGCAAAUAUAGAAAUUGGCUUGUAAUUCAUAAAUUCUGAUGAUAAACUGUGCUGCUGUAAAAUUGUGCUGCCCUUCAUUAUCAUGAAGAAUAUAAACUUCUUAGUCAAAUUCUGACACGACUUUUUUAUAUUUUUUUGGUGGUGGAACAGAGAGGUCUAAUAUUUGGUAGCUAUUGCUUGUCGUAAGCUUUUGAUUUUGUGUCAGCCAUACCUCUUUAAUGGGCACAGCAGAAUAGUUUCUGGAAAUCUGUGGGGGAAGAAAUCUUUUACAAGUUGCAGAUCAUUGACAAACUAAGGAAGAUGAGGGUGAAUAGUGUGCUGAGGGUGAAUUGACGUGUAAAAUUUUGCAUUGUUCAAUAUAAAGGCAGAAAUUACAUAAAGCACUUUAUCAGCUGAGACUGGACAUUCAGAUUCCUUCCUGCUUUAUGUUAGUGGUUAGAGUUUGACACCCUUCAUCUAAUCUGACCUUCUGUGAAGGUUUUUAUGCCAGAGAAAGGCAUUGGCUCUUGAAAAGGGCAUAAAAUCUAAUUAUGUUUUCUUUUGAUACUAUAUUUCAAUAGCUAGUAAUCCCUGUGUUGAAGUACGUGUCUGUCUUGUGACUAGAAUUUGACUUCAGCUUUCAUUUAGGGGAAGAGGGGAUGGCUCUACAAAAGAGGUCAGUAUCUUAUAUUUUCCUACUAGAAAGCAUUUGAAUGCUUUUAAUAUUUCUCAAUGAAAUGCAUGGAUUGACUUCCUAAAAUCUUGUGUUAUGCCUGUCUUCCUUAGUCCCUUCACAGAUUUGUAAUCUUUUAAGAAGGAGAUAAAACCCUGUUACAGUUUUUUUCCAUUGGUCUACAUGCAGGUAAAAUCCUUGCUUUCUUUGGAUUUUGCUUCCAAGGUGGAUAUCACAUUUGUCAAAGUGUUAAGUUGGAUCUCGUGUUUCAGUUCCUCGUCCAUUAUGACCCUAAUACCUUUUUCAGAGUCAGUGUUUUUUUCCCAGUGUGUGGCUUGUUUUCCCAAGGUACAACUUCGUGUUCUUUUCCUGGACGUAUAGCCUGAGAUUUGGCUAUUUAAAAAUUAUAGUAAUUUUGAACAGUAUGCUUUAUCAGCUGUUCCAGAACUCUUAUGUGAGGGUCCAGUUCUUUUGUUCACCACAGUGUCAGCUCUUGGGUUGUCCACAAAUAUAAUCAGCAAUAAGUUUAUAUGUGCUUACACAUCUUUGAAGAAAAUGUGAAAUAGUCUUAAACCUGGUAAUGGUCCCAGAGCAGUUCUCUAAGCACCUCUACUCAAAUACAGUUCUUCUGUGACAAUUAGUUUGUGAGAUUUGUUACUUACAGAUUUCUUUGAUUAAGAAAACAAAAUCUUACAAAAAAAUUAGGUAAAUGAAAAAUCUCUUGAGCCUAUUCAUUCCUGCCCUGCUGGUUUUUCUUGUAUUUUGCCCUGGGUGAUUCAGACUACUCUGCCUACAUGGUGGUUCUAUGCGUGGUUCUUCAAUGCUGGUGUGAUGUAAGUGCCCUUCUGGUCCCUUGGGUUUUAGUGCUGUUUGAUUUCCUAAUGCUAAGUGAACAGUAGUAAACAUCAUUCUUCCAGAAUCCUUGGUGGGUCCUUCAGUUGUCCAAACCUGCUGUUAUAAAAGGUUGUAAUUUGGUUGAUGAUGAUUAAAAAUGUCAUCAGCUGCAAAUAAACUGUUUUUUACUUCUUAA